GAUGAACGCUGGCGGCGUGCCUAAUACAUGCAAGUCGAGCGAACAGAUGAGGAGCUUGCUCCUCUGACGUUAGCGGCGGACGGGUGAGUAACACGUGGAUAACCUACCUAUAAGACUGGGAUAACUUCGGGAAACCGGAGCUAAUACCGGAUAAUAUAUUGAACCGCAUGGUUCAAUAGUGAAAGACGGUUUUGCUGUCACUUAUAGAUGGAUCCGCGCCGCAUUAGCUAGUUGGUAAGGUAACGGCUUACCAAGGCAACGAUGCGUAGCCGACCUGAGAGGGUGAUCGGCCACACUGGAACUGAGACACGGUCCAGACUCCUACGGGAGGCAGCAGUAGGGAAUCUUCCGCAAUGGGCGAAAGCCUGACGGAGCAACGCCGCGUGAGUGAUGAAGGUCUUCGGAUCGUAAAACUCUGUUAUUAGGGAAGAACAAAUGUGUAAGUAACUAUGCACGUCUUGACGGUACCUAAGCAGAAAGCCACGGCUAACUACGUGC
rnacentral:rRNA from 1 species